AUUUAUAUAGUAUAAAAAUUAUAAUUGAUUUCCAAUCAAAAGAUCUAUGAAAUAGUAUAAUUA
rnacentral:tRNA from 1 species